ensembl:lncRNA
AACACAAAGCACCUGAUGAAGUGCUGAACAUGCUGACCCUAACUAGAUUGAUGUCAGGAUGCAAAAUGAUUUGUGCAGAGCCAAGGUUUUAUCCCUGCUGUGAAAUGAAUAGGAUUUGGAGAUUGAGUAAAUGAGGAAGGAAAAUUUCAUCAUUUUCUCCAUCACUCAUAAAUGGAUUCAUACUACAUGUUCAAAUUUAAAUUCCCAGAGUUCUAAUCCAGAAGGGACUACUACAUCAAUUUGAUUGAACUCCUGUUUGCCACAGGCCAUUACGCUUAACACAGUUAAUUGCAUGCUGAGCCUAGCAACUUGUGUUGUCCUGAAGCAUAAUUUCCAGAGAGGUUUGCACAACAGCACAUUGCUGUGGAGAUGGAAGAGCCGCAGGCUGAUGAGCAGUGUUUCCUGUCUCAGAGGAAUGGUUUGUUAGCUUGUGAGAUGAGUCUGCAGUUUGCACAAGUGCCGCAUGGGGAACAAUUCUAACACUGCCAAGUCUUAUUUUUAGUCCAUAGCAGACAGCUGAGACUGCUCAAUAAUUAUCUAAGCUGAUUUCUUACCCACUUGAUUCAAAAGGAAAUGGCAGCUGAAAAUUCAGGGCCUGCAGCCCUCCAGCUUUCAUUGUAAGGGUCCCAGGAGUGGAAUUAGUUUGGGGUUUGCCACCACUGGCACUUACUCCACACAGACUGCCUGUGGGUGACCAAGCAUGGUGACACCUGUGUGACCAAAUCCACCUCCACGGCCAGAGAGGGACUUGCAGUUACUGCAUUUCUGUGGAAAUUAGAUGGACUCCUUUUGUCUGUGAAACAUCUUUCAGUGAUCCUAGAGCAGCUGUGACAAUCUAAUAGCAAACAAAGGACUACAGAACUCAAUUGUACAAAUGGAGCUUUGAGGAGAAUGAUAAAUGACCUAAAUUAAGCCACUGUUUUUAAGUACCUAAUUUAAGCCUUCCAUGAUGCAUACUCUCCUCAAGCCUUCUUGUACCUGUUGCUGUUGGAAAAUAACUAGUAUUUGACUGUUGUUUGUGUUCUCAAUAAUUCAUUUUUCAAAUGCCACCUGAAGUAUUGGCAUAAAAAAAUCAGUAUGUCGGUUUUUUGGUUCCCCUUUGGCCUUCCAUGUCCUUGUGUGUAGCUCAGUAGCUCAGGGAAUAACUUGUAUUUUGGUGAAAAAUCUCUAACUUGGCUUAGGAUACCUUUGAUAAAAAGGGAUUUCUAUGUUUAUGUCUCUAAAAUUAUGUUUGGAUUCCCUGUAUUUCAAAUUAGCAAGCAGUGGUUUACCGAUUUUCUUAGAUUAUGAAUUUGGAAGGUAGUAGAUUGUUUUAAUAGAUUACUUGGAUUCAGUUUCCUUUGUUCCAGCACUUCUAACUGCGGCAUUGUUCUCACAUGUUUUCUGCUUGACAAACCAGUAGGAGACUAAGGGGUUAUACACUGCACUAUGGUAUCUUAUAUGUGUUUUUAAGAGGAAUGGGACACUGGUAUUGAUUACUACAGUGCCUACAGUAAAAAUAUUAAACUAAAAAAUGUAUAUUUCAAUUUCUUUGUGUGCUAUGAAAAAAGAUAUGUGGUAUGGCACUUAGAGAUUUAGAAAGGUAGAAACUGGCAAUUAAUAACAGAACCUGGGAACUCUUAGAUGGGCUUUGUCAGGUAACUCAAAGGGUUUCUAUCAUCAUCAUGAAUCCAGCCAAAUAGAUUUCUCCAAAGUAUUUCUUCAAUGCUAGCAUGAUGAUGACAAAUCAUAUUGCAUAGAAGAGAAAUUCCUUAAUUUAUCAUUCUGUGUAUUGGCUUCAUGUUUUGAAAUUUGUAAAUACUGGACAACACCACAAGCUAGAUUUGAGAGACAUCCUGGUGUGUGUGUGUGUGUGUGUGUGGAAGGUCAUCACUCUGUAAAAAGGAGGGCAACAUUUCUGCAGAAGGCUUUCUUAUGGGAAAAUCCUCUAUUUUGCUGGUUUCUGGCUGAAAAAUAAUCCUGUGAUUUUAAUCAUUUUUAGGACAUUUUGACACUUCCUGUUCUACUGAUAAGACAGGGCUCAGUUUUUCAAUGCACUUAACUGUGUGUUAAAGUCCUGUUGAAGCCAACUGAGGUUUAUGUUCAGAAAUAAGGCUGUGCUUCAGUGCCUGCCAGAGACAUCAGGAAUUGACAAUUCCCACUUGUUAGCAUUUUAGGAUGAGAAUUUUCUAUUUUAUUCAUAAGGACAGCAGGAUCCAAUCUGCUGCCUUGAUAUUGUUAAUGCCUGUUUUUUCACUGUACGGAAGUGGGAUACCAAAUUUUCAUGCUUGAGCACAUAGAGCAGCACCAGUAUUUGACUCGCACCAUAUUUUCAAUCUAAAAAUCUCAAAGCACUUUCAGUAGAGACUCAUGUCCUACCAUCUUCCUACAGAAGAAUAAGAUUACCAGGGAGAAGGUGAAAUGUCUUGCACACAGAUAUCCAGAAACCUGUGGCAAAGAAAGAACAUGGAAAACGGGUUGAUGCCUGUCCUUAAUCAAACAGUGAAGAGUUUGUUUGCACUUGCUGGGAAUAAUUCUGUGUAGCAUUUAUGGCUAAUUUGGACCUUCUAUGAGUGAGGUCUUAUUCAGUCCAGUGGAGCAUUCUUGUAUAGUGUGAGCAGGAUAGUAAUGUACAUGUUUUUGGCAAGGUGGAAAAGGUAUUGCCUCUUUCCCACUCUGUCACAACAGUGUACCACUGACAAGACUAGUUUGGCACAGUUUAGUCUCAUCUUCACAGCUGUCUGUUGCAGCUUUUUUGAAACUCAGAGGGAAAGAACAGCCUAGACCAGGCUAGGGAAGACAACUAGGAUUAAAACUGACUUGGAAAAAUGGGACAGUUUUAAUCAGCCUCAGGAGAUUGCUCCAUUCAGCCAGAUAUCUGCAGAAACACGUCAUCAAAAAGGAGGCUGCUCUAGUUGAAUAGAAACUAGGGAGAAGGAUAGAGUACUUUUACUAGGGGCAAUUCUGGAUUUUGCUAAACUGUAGAUGAAAGAGUGCUUUACUCCUUCACUUUGUAUUUUACUGUCCACCACUUGAUAAAUACUGUUGUCUACUCCUUUACUGGAAUCUUUCUCUCGCUUUUGACAGCUCUGGUUUGCAGCCAUCAGGUUCAAAAAUUGGUAAUGCUCUGGAUUCUAGAGCUGUGUUAUUACUUAAUGAUCUAUUUUUGAGGGUUUUGUUUUGUUUUGUUUUGUUUUGUUUUGUUUUGUUUUGAAUGGAUGUUGGUAAAGUGCUGAUCCUUAGGUUGUGCUCAAAUUGAGCUUGAAAACAUGGCUACUAAAGGCUUCAGCCCAAGUGAAAAGAGAAGCCAGAACUAUAACUUUUGAAAAUCAAUUUCAAUAGAAAUAUUUUAAAAUAAUUUCUUCUAUUACCUUGUUAAUAGCUGUAUCUUACCUUCUUCUCUUUCCUGAAUACCAUGUCAGUGAAGUAAAAGAUUAAAAUUUGGAGCAAUAAAAGAAAAAUAUGAGGUUAUGAAAUGAAUUCCAUUUUUCCAGUUCUCUUUACCAGGUGACAUUGUGUGAAUCCACAUCGUGUUCCUCAAGCACUGAGGUUAUUUGUUGACAUCCCAUUGCUGGGCUGGCUAGGCUGAUGGGAGUAUAAAAGUGACGUGGAAGAUAAAACUUAAAUUCAAGUGCUGGACUACUUUUCCCUUUCUCCUGAGGCUCUAAAUCUCACAGGGGUUUUCAAUGGUUUCUUAAGUUCUGAGUUGAAGUAAAAGGUAAAAAGAAAAUAAUUUUUGUAAAAUAAAAGUUAAGAUUUCCAUUUGUCAUUUUGAUUCCGGAGGAUAAAAUGUCAAAUGUUGUAAGCUUACCGCAGUGGCUUUGAUUCUUGCCAGAGAUCCAACAAAACUGUGCCAUUUUAAAAAUCAAACUGGUUGGGAAUGUCUGUGCAAAGCAAAUGUCAAAUUUGUAUGCUGGAGUAUUCAUGAUUCAUAUUUCUGGUUUUAUAAACAAGAAUUUGAGCCAACAGUUCACAAGUAUCAGCCUGAUGGAGAGCAGAAACACUGCUGUUUACUUAUCCAACUAAUGUGAACUAAUCAAUACACCUCAACAAGUGUAUACUUGAGGAAAGAAUUCACACUUUGUUUGUAAAGUUGAAAGAAUUAAUUGAGCAAUUUCUGAUAAUGAAAACAUUAUAGGAAAUUGUAGUUUGAUUAUGGAGCAGGAAGUGAAGCAAAAUGCACUGGUUGCCAUUCUCUUCAUGAAUUAGUGCCUCUUGCAAUGCAUUCUGUUGUGAGAGGUCUAACACGUGUAGCGUGUAACACAGUUAUCACUGUUAUGCACAGCUCCUAUAUAACACCCAUCUACUGUUAGAGAGAUCUUUAGAGGGAAUGAAUCAAUAGUCAGUAGUUAAAAUUCCUUGAGUAAUUCAUCAAAUUAUUUUCUUCUAGUAUUAAAAAUGUGCCAUUUCCCAAAUAGAUCCCUUAAAAACUCCAAAUUUCUAUGGAUUUUAUUUGUAUAUAGGAAUAAUCCUUUAUCUCUUGUCCUCCCAUUGUCCUUCUUCCUUCUUUUCCUUCCUCCCUUGCGCUUACUUUUCUAAUAUCUGUUAAUUAUAUAAUAGAAACAAAUCUAAAUAAACAUCAUAGCUACUUGAAGUGUUUUAUCAAGACUAUCCAGCAGAGCAGACACAGUUGUACCUCGUGGCACCUUCCAUUUUUACAGGGCCUCUUUGGUUCCCAAAAGAAGAUGGAGGUAUAUAUGAAGUGCUGAAUGUAUCUCUGUGGCUUGGUCGCUAUUCAGUACUACUCAUGGAAAAGACCUACCAAAUUUCUAACAAUUUCCUACCGUGUUUUAAGAUUUCUCUAGAAAAAAUAAUUGAACAUGUCAAUUUAGUCAUGCACUUUAACACCUUGUCAAAAUUAUCUGGAUAUCUCGAUAGCUCCAGGUUUGAUUUUGCAUGGGACUUGUUGGAUUUAUUUAUUUAUUUUUAUUGUCAUUUGUUCAUGCAGUAUGUUGGUUUUUAAAGAUGAAUUAAUGUGAUCCAUUUUUUAGUUCACAGAAAAAAUUGUAUAUCAUAUUUUUUGUAGGGCAAAACGUUCAGGAACAAUUUCUUCCAUUGAUACUAUGUAAUCAUGUGGCACCUCUUUGCAGUAAUUGUCAUAAACCCUGUUCUCAUUCACUGACAUGUAGCAUUCCUGAUAGAAACUCAAUUUCCCUGGUUCCUAGCCAGGAACUUCUUAUCACUUUUUAAGGUGGAAGCUGUUGCAGGAGAAGAAUGAAUGGGGAAAAAAAAAAAAACAACAACCAAAAAAAACCAGGCAGGUUGCUUUAUAUAUAGCACUAUGAAUUAAAGCCUUCAAAGCUCAUAAAUCAAGAUUAGCAGUCAAUGGUUUUUAAAUGGGAGUUUGAUUUUAGUUCUUAUCUUGAUUAAAGUAAUUCAUGUGAACAUUUUUAAGUUUUGCUCGAGCAACAGCAGAGCUGGAGAUCCCCAGCAGGAGCUGGCACCAGGGACAAUUCUGUAAACUCUGUCCUGAUGGAAGCCUCUUUUGUGGCCAGAGGAACUGGAGGUCUGAGAGCUAUCCUGGGUUCUGCAUUUCAAAUUAGAGCACUGGAAACCCUAUAAAUAAAACAGAACAUCUUUACAGAGGCAGGCAUUUUCUGUCCUCAGCCUGCAACCCAGACACAGCAUCCACUGUUGUUUUUUCUUUUCCUCACAGCUUUUUAGAGGAAAGGGAAGGUGAUGCCGUGAAUGUAUCUACAUGUCCCCUUUUAUGAUACAGUUGGGAGCCCUUCCAGGUUAAGACUAUAUCCAGAUCCCAGGAAUGUACAUAGUUACAACAUCUCUGAAAGUUUCUUUCAUAUGGUUAAUUUCAACAGUAAAUGGGUAAAGCGAUCACAUUUACCAUUCCAGGAUUUAUUGGAUAGGCAAAAAAACAUUGCAUCUUUGUCUUAGUUUCGCAGAUGACUUCACAGACAGCAGAAUUCAGUAGUGCUACCCCUUGUACUUUCUUUCUGAAUUCUACAUGUCUUCAAAGGAUGUAGAUCUUACAGUAAUAUAUUAAACACAGUUUAUGCAGAAAUAGGAUUUCUCUGUAAUUUGUACAAUAUGAAAUUUUAGUAGUUUACAUUAUAAACACAAUGUGAUUUUACUUCUACUGUUUUUGCAUAUUAUUUCAUUCAACAUAUAAAAAUGUAUUAUUUUUUUUCUGUAAACUUCCCAUUAUAAUACUAACUUUAAUGACAUUCAUUUCCUUCAAUUGUAUUUUAAGUAUGCUGUUUGUUUCAC